rnacentral:rRNA from 1 species
UACGUAGGGUGCAAGCGUUAUUCGGAAUUACUGGGCGUAAAGCGUGCGCAGGCGGCUUUGCAAGUCAGAUGUGAAAUCCCCGGGCUUAACCUGGGAAUGGCAUUUGGGACUGCAAGGCUGGAGUGCGGCAGAGGAGACUGGAAUUCCUGGUGUAGCAGUGAAAUGCGUAGAUAUCAGGAGGAACACCGAUGGCGAAGGCAGGUCUCUGGGCUGACACUGACGCUCAUGCGCGAAAGCGUGGGGAGCAAACAGG